GUUUAGGUCGGACUGUGAUCCGGGGUCUCUUUCUCCAUUGUGCAGACUGUGUGGGCCUUGCAGGAAAAAUGGUGCAGUGUUUAAGACACUGUCUUGGAAAAUAGGACUGUUGUAGUCAGUUCCAUAUUCCACCACGCUUUUGUCUGGCAGCAGCAGAUUGGAAGUAAACCUUUCUAAAGAAAGUUCCUAGGAAAGAUAAAGGUUAUCAUGAGAAGAGAACAUCUGAGGAGGAAUUUAUAUAGCUGUCUUUUGCUCUAGCCUACCUUAAGAUGCCAAAUAUCACAGAAUCAUUUGUGCUGGAAAGGACCUCAUGCUGAAAAGUGUCUUUCAGGCUCCAGGUUGCCGGGAAAGGUGCCUCCUGUCAGCUUCUUUCCAUAAUUCAGAAGGGUCAUUGGGUGCCUAUUGCUUAGAAAGGCUCUGACAAGGCAGGCAUGACUAGAUAAUGACUGCUUUGAAGAACAUAAGAAGUUUCCUUUGCUUCAAUUCUUUGGAAUCACAGAAGAGACACAGAUAAAGAUGUGCUGUCUCAAAAGCAGUCGUAUCACAAAAUCACAGACUCUGCACUGGAAAUGACACUUGGAGGUCAUGUAAUCCAAUUCCCUGACAAAGCAGGGCUAACUCCGGAGUUACAUCAAGGUGCUAAGGAUUAUUUGGUGUGAAGGUGUCUCAGAUUAUGUGCUGUCUUGUAGCUAGUUCCUCAAGCUUAGGUAAGUCAGUACACAAGCUCACUAUCUCUGGGAGCACUGCAGAAUCAGUACCUACUUGUCUGAAGUGUAGGUGGAACUAUCAUCAUGUGUGUUGGUGCAAAGCUUGUUAGAAUAUACCAGGGACUAUGGUAUUGAUAUCUCUGGACUUAACAUGCCUGCCCUGGAGAAAAAAACAUUCUUACAGUGAUUCAAGGAUUCACCUUUGUCCCUUUUCUGUGCAUUACUUAGAUGACAUAAUAAACAAGUGCUAGAGUAAGUCUCUGUUCUCUCUUGAGGGCACCAACCCUGGGAUCUGCAUGCCAGUCCUGGAUUCAUCUGUCUUGCCACGGGGCUCUGCAGUGUUUUUGAGGAAGUGGAAGUCUCAGUCUUUACCUGAGCAGGGCCUGUUCAAUGAACAUUCUCAUUCAAAGCAAAGAAAAUCUAGAAAGCUCUAUUUGCUUUUCCCACUGCAGAUGAAGGAAUGGGCUCCUAGUGAAAACAUGGAUGGAAUAGGCUUUCAAAGAGGUGUUUGAAAAGGGGAAGUGAGGAGCUAUUUUUGGGUGAACUGGUCAGCCAUACUCCCUUUUGAAUCCUCACUGACAGAAAGGCUUUGGCAGUGGGAAGGCAACCAUGCAGUGGGCCAUGAGUGGUAGUCACAUCUCUCUCUCCACCCAGCAAAGCAAGAGCCACAGUCAUGUUUGUGCAAACUCACCACCAGAGGAACAGGGGCUGCUCAGCCCAACCCAGUCCAGUCCACAAGACGAAGAGAAUCAUCCCUCCAGUACACCUCCAGUCCACACCAUCUAUUGCUCAUCAACCUAGUCAGUAUUUCUAGUUCUCUACUAACAUUUGGAAAGUCUCUACACACAAGGUCUUUCCAAACAUUCCUCUCUCAUUUCCCUUGGGCUGGAAGUCAUUUCAGAUGUGCCAGCUGGUACUCAGCCCCUGGGCUGAUUCCAGCACCUGUGCCUAGUUUUAUGUCAGAGUGAGCUGGCUGAGCCUGUGGGACAUUACAGCGUGGCCUGAUGCAGGUGGUGCUUGGAAAGGUGCUGCCCGACUUCUGCAAGGAGGUGGAAAGCAACAGUGUCAGAGCAGAGCUGAGCAAAGCAGUGAUUUCCAGUGCCUUCUGAUGUUUGUUUCUUGAAAAGAACAUGCUGCCAAAUAAAUAUCACCUGCUUCUGAGUAUGUGCCAGGGGUUUGGCAAUGAGUUAAGAGCCAGAAGAACUGCACAGCCCUGAACUAUUUCCAGCAGAGCUCUGGAGGCUGAUAGCUCCAGAAUGAUUGGAGGAUGACUCUUCCUUGACAGACUAUCCCCAGACAACUGGGGUGAGUGGCUCCUCCCUGAUGGUCUGGUGUUCCUCUACUCAUUUUUCCUUGACUAACAAAAGGGGGCAAUCUGAAAAUUCUUGGAAUAGACAACCAGUUCCUUCCAACUUCCACACAUUUUACUGAGAAAUUUGCUUGUUCCCUUCUCAUUUGCUUAGUUCACUCCUGGUGUUUUUCCCCCCAGAUGACUUUGCUAGAACCACAGUGAAAUUGAAGGCACUACCCAUGUUCUACUCUGAGUCCCUUAACUACAAUUGUUUUCAGUCUGUGGAGAGGGUGUUUUUCUCUCUUUCAUUCUCUCUGCUCCUUGGCUUCCCACAGUGACAGCCGUAUCUGUUUGAUUUGAGAGAAGCUUUGCAUGUGCUAUGAGUGGCUCCUUCUGCUAACAAUUUGUCCUCUGGAGCCCGUUGCUGCACAAUAUAAAUAAAUUUCACUGUUUAGUACUUUCCCAUUUUGUUCCUCUGCUGCUGGCAGUGAGUUGACCUACCCUGUUUUGUUUUUCAGAUUUAUCUUUCUUUGCCCUUCUUAUAUGAGACGAAGUCACAAUAUUAAAUUAACAAGGAUGCAUUAUUGAUGCAUACUUUUUUUGUUGUUGUUUCAUGCUGUCCUCAAAGUUCUGUAUAAAAUGAGAAUUAAAAUGCAGAUUACAUUCUGGAAUAGUAUUCAAUUGGGUCUUAGGAUGAAAAAUAAGACUUUAUCCGUCUUCAGAAAUUCUAAUAGUGUGUCCUGCAUAGAUACUGUGCACAUAUAAAAAGCAUUUUUCAGUCAUUUUACCACAUAAACUCGGUGUUUUUAUUAACAGUCUUCAUUUGGCCCAUUCCAUGCAUGUGUGCUGCUAGAAUGACCAGGAUGUUUAGCACAGUGCUAAACUUGCUUUGCAGUGGUGAAUGCAGGUACUGGAAGUUCUCCAAUUGUAGUACUAUGCAUGCCCCAGCAACCUCCUGCUCAGAAUAUGGUAAAUAUUUAGAGUGGCUGAGCCCAAUCUGGGCUCUGUGCUGUUUUAACUAGAUUGUUCCUGCCUGCUUUAAAGCUGGCUUAGGCAUUUAUCCACCACACCAGCAUCACUGCGGAUUACAUGUACCCCUAAUUGGGUAUGAUGAAGGCCACAGUCAUGUUUUCCAUGGUUCCAAGACUUAAGCUUAGAGCGCUUGAGGUUGUUUUUACUGCAUGAAUGUGACUGCAUGUGGAUUUUAAUACAGAGAAAAACAUACUGGGACCAGCUAAUAAGUCAGUAAAGUGGUUACAUUUGCCUACUUUCUCGGAAAUUAUCAUAAUUCCUGUCUUUCUUGGGAUGAAUAAAAGAAAUCUAUCAAUCUAGACAAUAUUAUUUUUGUCUAUUUUUGUAUCUUAUUAUAGCAUAAAUAGGUUUUGAAUAGUAUAAAUCAAGUGGUUUUUGUUUUCCACUGACUUCUAAGCGAAGAAGGAUGUCACCAUGCACAGGGUAAAAAAGGUAAAGAGAAGCUAACCCAUUACCAUUUGCAUUUUACAAACCAGAUCUUAAAAAAAAUACUUGAAGGAGGGGAAAUUUGUCACCUUAACAUUGCAAAUUAUG